rnacentral:rRNA from 1 species
GUUUGAUCCUGGCUCAGAUUGAACGCUGGCGGCAUGCUUUACACAUGCAAGUCGAACGGCAGCACGGGGGCAACCCUGGUGGCGAGUGGCGAACGGGUGAGUAAUGCAUCGGAACGUACCCAGUCGUGGGGGAUAACGCAGCGAAAGUUGUGCUAAUACCGCAUACGACCUGAGGGUGAAAGCGGGGGACCGUAAGGCCUCGCGCGAUUGGAGCGGCCGAUGUCUGAUUAGCUAGUUGGUGGGGUAAAGGCCCACCAAGGCGACGAUCAGUAGCGGGUCUGAGAGGAUGAUCCGCCACACUGGGACUGAGACACGGCCCAGACUCCUACGGGGGCAGCAGUGGGGAAUUUUGGACAAUGGGGGCAACCCUGAUCCAGCCAUGCCGCGUGCGGGAAGAAGG